rnacentral:snRNA from 1 species
GGAUGUGUGGUCAGUCGGUGCUGUCUGUCUCCUUCUUGGUGACCAGGAUUAAUUCGGACCAUCUGGCAAACCGGACAAGGGGCUCUUUCACCCUCACUGUUUCAUCCCUUCCAAAGCUUUGUGUUCAGUUGAGAGAAUGACCUUUCCAGAGAGCUGGAGGAUUAUCGUUAGGUCCAGAAUAUUCU